rnacentral:rRNA from 1 species
UUGAACGCUGGCGGCAUGCCUUACACAUGCAAGUCGAACGGCAGCACGGGAGCAAUCCUGGUGGCGAGUGGCGAACGGGUGAGUAAUGUAUCGGAACGUACCCUGUCGUGGGGGAUAACACAGCGAAAGCUGUGCUAAUACCGCAUACGACCUGAGGGUGAAAGCGGGGGAUCGCAAGACCUCGCGCGAUAGGAGCGGCCGAUAUCGGAUUAGCUUGUUGGUGAGGUAAAGGCUCACCAAGGCGACGAUCCGUAGCUGGUCUGAGAGGACGACCAGCCACACUGGAACUGAGACACGGUCCAGACUCCUACGGGAGGCAGCAGUGGGGAAUUUUGGACAAUGGGGGCAACCCUGAUCCAGCCAUUCCGCGUGAGUGAAGAAGGCCUUCGGGUUGUAAAGCUCUUUCAGCAGGAACGAAACGGUGGCCAAUAAUACUGGCUACUAAUGACGGUACCUGAAGAAGAAGCACCGGCUAACUACGU